rnacentral:rRNA from 1 species
GGUUUCCUGGGGCAGGCUCGUCCGCCCAGGGUAAGUCGGGACCUAAGGCAAGGCCGAAAGGCGUAGUCGAUGGAGAACAGGUAGAAAUUCCUGUACUGCGCAGCUUCGUUAAUAGCGAAGGAGGGACGCAGGAGGCAAAGAACGCAUGGCACUGGAAGCCAUGUUCAAGCGUUAAGUGUGGUAAUGAGUCAAAUGCUUGUUACUGUUAAGCACAAGGCGUGAUGAGGAGCGAAAU